GAUGAACGCUAGCGGCAGGCUUAAUACAUGCAAGUCGAGGGGCAGCAGGACUGUAGCAAUACAGUUGCUGGCGACCGGCAAACGGGUGCGGAACACGUACGCAACUUACCCUUGUCUGGGGCAUAGCCCGGGGAAACCCGGAUUAACUCCCCAUAAGAUAGUGGUGUGGCAUCACACAGCUAUCAAAUCUUUGGAGGACAGGGAUGGGCGUGCGGCUGAUUAGGUAGUUGGUAGGGUAACGGCCUACCAAGCCUGCGAUCAGUAACUGGUGUGAGAGCACGACCAGUCACACGGGCACUGAGACACGGGCCCGACUCCUACGGGAGGCAGCAGUAAGGAAUAUUGGUCAAUGGACGCAAGUCUGAACCAGCCAUGCCGCGUGGAGGAUGAAGGCCCUCUGGGUUGUAAACUUCUUUUAUGGGGGACGAAACACUCUUAUUCUUAAGAGCUGACG
rnacentral:rRNA from 1 species